AAAAUAAAAAUAAAAAAAAGGCAAUUAAGGGAGUUAAAAAGGGCAGUCAAUCUAUAGUCACAUAGAGAGAGAACCUUUAAUUUUUUCAUGAAUCUGUUUCUCUCUCUAAAAAAGGUGUCUACCUCACUCCAUUAUCUUCUCAUCUAUGGAGACAAGAGACUUAAUAAAAAAACAAAAAUAAAAAAUUAAUUAAUUAAACCCACAAAAAGCACAUUAGCUAGCUUAACUAAUAGCUCUACCUACAAAGCAUUUUCCAGAAAUCCUUGCAACUGCUGCUCUUUAGUACCUCUUUCAGCUUACUAUUCUCCACAAAUUCUCUCUCUAACUAAUUCACCUCUGUUCUUUUUUUAAAAAUUUAUUUUUUUCUAUCCCUCUCAGUAAUAUUUCAAAGAAAUUGGGGGUCACAUUUAGUUUUAUUUUUUUAUAAUUGUUAAAGAAAAUUAUUUUCUCACUCUAUAUAUAUAUAAUCUAUUUAUUUAUUUUUCAUUGCUGGGAAAAUUGUCCGUUGUGAUAUUUUUGGUUAUUGAAUGAGAGAGAUAGGGAUAGCAGGGGAAGUAGAGAGGAAAGAAAGAAAGAAGCUAAGGAGAGAGAGAGAGAGAGAUGGGUUGGCUAUUGUGAUUGCGAAGCAGGGGAUCUGAUCUUUCCUUUUCGCGUUGAAUUCUCUUCUAGCUUUCAGCUUGUUGUGUGAAUCACACAACACAUAUACAUACACAUACUACUUGUGAGAGAGAUGUAAAAGAAAGAAAGAUAAAAGAUUGAAUGGAUGGAUCCUAUAAUGGGAGAACAAGGAAAAGGAGGAGAAGAAGAAGAACAAAGGAAAGCUAACUUCUACUAAUAACCCAUUACUUUCUUGUUUUUCAUUUUUAUUUCUUUUCUUGGAAAAACAAAAGCUUUCUUUGGUGAUUGAUUUCCCUUCUGAAUCAAAAAAGAAGCAAAAUUUGUCUGUUUUGGGUAUCCGAAAUCAAUUCAUUCCACACCCUUUAUUGCCUAAUUAUAGUUCCUAAACUCAGAAUUUACAACCAGAAUCAAACGGAGCUUCGCUGGAUUCUUUCUUUGUUUGGUUCUGAUAGAGAGAGAUGAGAGCUGGGCUCAGUACGAUUCAGCAAACUCUCACCCCUGAGGCGGCGAGUGUUUUAAACCACUCAAUUGCUGAAGCUAGCCGCCGGAACCAUGGUCAGACUACGCCCCUUCAUGUGGCGGCAACGCUUUUAGCUUCGCCGUCUGGGUUUCUUCGGCAAGCCUGUAUCAAAUCUCACCCCAACUCAUCGCAUCCUCUCCAGUGUAGAGCCUUGGAACUAUGUUUUAG
rnacentral:misc_RNA from 1 species